CUGCAGUCGUGGCAUCUUGACGGAUACGACUUCUGGGUUGUAGGGUACGGCAAUGGCCAGUGGACUGAGAUGCAGCGGCAAA